AUGCACGCUGGCGGCGUGCCUCAUACAUGCAAGUCGCGCGAACAGACGAGGAGCUUGCUCCUCUGACGUUAGCGGCGGCCGGGUGAGUAACACGUGGAUAACCUACCUAUAAGACUGGGAUAACUUCGGGAAACCGGAGCUAAUACCGGAUAAUAUAUUUAACCGCAUGGUUCAAUAGUGAAAGACGGUUUUGCUGUCACUUAUAGAUGGAUCCGCGCCGCAUUAGCUAGUUGGUAAGGUAACGGCUUACCAAGGCAACGAUGCGUAGCCGACCUGAGAGGGUGAUCGGCCACACUGGAACUGAGACGCGGUCCAGACUCCUACGGGAGGCAGCAGUAGGGAAUCGUCCGCAAUGGGCGAAAGCUUGACGGAGCAACGCCGCGUGAGUGAUGAAGGUCUUCGGAUCGUAAAACUCUGUUAUUAGGGAAGAACAAAUGUGUAAGUAACUAUGCACGUCUUGACGGUACCUAAUCAGAAAGCCACGGCUAACUACGUG
rnacentral:rRNA from 1 species